GUAGGGUGCAGCGUUAAUCGGAAUUACUGGGCGUAAAGCGUGCGCAGGCGGUUUUGUAAGCCAGAUGUGAAAGCCCCGGGCUUAACCUGGGAAUGGCAUUUGGGACUGCAAGGCUGGAGUGUGGCAGAGGAGACUGGAAUUCCUGGUGUAGCAGUGAAAUGCGUAGAUAUCAGGAGGAAUACCGAUGGCGAAGGCAGGUCUCUGGGCUGACACUGACGCUCAUGCACGAAAGCGUGGGGAGCAAACAGGAUUAGAUACCCUGGUAGUCCACGCCCUAAACGAUGUCGACUGGUUGUUGGGGGUUUGACACUCUCAGUAACGAAGCUAACGCGUGAAGUCGACCGCCUGGGGAGUACGGCCGCAAGGUUA
rnacentral:rRNA from 1 species